GAUGAACGCUGGCGGCGUGCCUAAUACAUGCAAGUCGAGCGAAUGGAUUAAGAGCUUGCUCUUAUGAGGUUAGCGGCGGACGGGUGAGUAACACGUGGGUAACCUGCCCAUAAGACUGGGAUAACUCCGGGAAACCGGGGCUAAUACCGGAUAACAUUUUGAACCGCAUGGUUCGAAAUUGAAAGGCGGCUUCGGCUGUCACUUAUGGAUGGACCCGCGUCGCAUUAGCUAGUUGGUGAGGUAACGGCUCACCAAGGCAACGAUGCGUAGCCGACCGUGGAGGGUGAUCGGCCACACUGGGACUGAGACACGGCCCAGACUCCUACUGGAGGCAGCAGUAGGGAAUCUUCCGCAAUGGACGAAAGUCUGACGGAGCAACGCCGCGUGAGUGAUGAAGGCUUUCGGGUCGUAAAACUCUGUUGUUAGGGAAGAACAAGUGCUAGUUGAAUAAGCUGGCACCUUGACGGUACCUAACCAGAAAGCCACGGCUAACUACGUGCCAGCCGCCGCAGUAA
rnacentral:rRNA from 1 species